rnacentral:lncRNA from 1 species
AUAUUUUCCUCCUUAUUUAAUUUGCUGGAUAUGAGACAACCCUCCUGAACUUACUUCUCUCCUGGGAACACAGCCCCCCUCUCUUAUCAUACAUAUGCUACAGCACAUCCUGAGGAGAAGAGGAAGGAAUACUGGAGUGAUGAAAAGGGAUUUGGUGUGCAGCCCUCUCUGUAACUAAGCCCUGACUCUGUGAGUGGGAAAGAGCACAAGAGAGCUAUACAGCAGAGAUCAGACUGGAAAUUAUUGUAAAGGCUGUGACAAGGGGGCUCAGAAAAAGCAAGAUCUACUGAAUAGGGAGCUACAUUUCUUCUGUGAGGUCUGAAACAGCAGAUGAAAGAAAAUCGAACUAGUUCGCACCACUGCUUUUUGAAGCAUUGCACUGAUAUUAGAAGAGAAGACAGAGGUGCACAGAUGAAGCCGAUAACUUAGAAGAACAUCCCUUAUGUAGUUAGCAAGCUCACCUAAGAAAAUUACAUGGGGGCUAAAAGUCAAAAAGGCACCUGAAAAGACUUGCAUAGUUUACAAGGCAUUUUUGGGAAAAGUGGUUUAAAUGACUGUUUCUCAACUGUGAAACUUUCCCUUAGUUCAUUUCCUCCUGUUUGGUGUUAAAUGAAGAGAAUCGACUUUGUGUUUCUUGGACACAAAGAAGUGCCUCUCAUUGAAGUGAACUUAAGCUCAGAAAGUGGAGACAUCACUGAGAUUUAGUUCAAAAGUGCACUCUGAGUACAACAGUCAGGUCAUUUUUGCCUUAUAUCUGUCAAACCUGAAACUUGAUAAUACCAGGACAUUCAUCUGUACUUCUGUUCCCUUGCCAGUUAGAAGGGA